UACGAGGGGGGCGAGCGUUGUUCGGAAUUAUUGGGCGUAAAGGGUGCGUAGGCGGUUUGGUAAGUCUUAUGUGAAAUCUAUGGGCUCAACUCAUAGUCUGCAUGAGAAACUGCCGGGCUUGAGUAUGGGAGAGGUGAGUGGAAUUCCUGGUGUAGCGGUGAAAUGCGUAGAUAUCAGGAGGAACACCUGUGGCGAAGGCGGCCCGCUGGACAGCGCCUGACGCUGAGACGCGAAAGCGUGGGUAGCAAACAGG
rnacentral:rRNA from 1 species